UGGAGAUCCCUGGGCCUGCAAGUGCCACGCC
rnacentral:piRNA from 1 species